rnacentral:lncRNA from 1 species
AAAGAUCCGGGCCGGAAGGCAAUGUUAUGUGGACCGAAAGGUCCGGGCCGGAAGGCAAUGUUAUGUGGACCGAAAGGUCCGGGCCGGAAGGCGUAUGUGCGUAAGGUAUAUUGGGGAACUCACUAAGCUUCGUGCUUACGUUGUUUAUGUUACGUUGUUUCAGGUUCUUACAGUAACGCGGGAUGGCAACGGUUCGAUUGUACACACCGAAGAAAGAGUUGAGUUUUGGAGGAUCCUGGUCUUCUUUUAUAACGAAAAUGAAACUACGUUUUGUAAUUUGAAUGUGAAUAAGAUUUUAAACAAGUGUUUUUAAUAUUAAAUUGAUUAAUUAAAUGAAAAUUUUAUUUUUGGAAAUCUGGGUGUUACAAAUUGGUAUCAGAGCCUUGGUUUGAGGGAUUCGGACGCGCCUACGGGUAAAUCUGGACUCAAACUGAGGAAGUAAGAAAAAGGUUUUCAAAUAAAUGGUUUUCUAAAAGUGAAUAAGAGUUCAAAGAGAAAGCAAGAAAGAGCAGUGUGUACAAUCAGCCAGAGCCAAACGGUGAUUUCCCAAAAUACCCUUACUUUUGUAUUAUGAAAUAUCUAUUAUGCACUUUAUGAGACAUUAUUGCAUGCUAGAGACAGGCUAGGUAUUUCACAUCUUAGGACUAGAGUGGCCUGAUUUGUGAUGCCUUAGUCUAGGGUUUGCUGUUAUAUGUGCGUUAUGCUUUUGUGUGUAUGUGAUGAGUGAGGGUAUCUAGUUAGAACGCACGAGGGGUAGAGCUACAGAGUACAGUGGUACUUCCGAGGAUGAGCCGAGAAGGUGGAGCUAUCACAGCUAAGGAGUCCUAUGUAUGCUUCGAUGCUCGAAUGCUGCUUGCUUCGUGCUUUGUGGAGUUCUCGAUGAUGGGAGACAGCUACUAAGUGAGUAUGACGAUACUCAGGAGGUAGAUGUUUGGCAUCAUUAGGAGCUCUUCAGCAGCUGAUGGCAAAGAAGUGGGAGGACGGCGGAAAGGGCUAGAGAUUAAAUCUAGCCAAGAUGGGUGCGCGGGUAGAAAAGAGGAUUUCGUUGGGGAGCGAGCAUGCAAGAUGGGAUUGGUGAAAAGAGCAGGUCGAUCAGCUACUUAGGAACUCUGGGAUGGUCCGUGUGGAAAGUAUGGGUAGAUGUGGCAGGUAGUAUGGGCCCGUACUAUUGAAAGCAGAGGACCCAUACUUGAUACAGGGAGCAU